GGGCCUGCGCAAGAACCAAGACUCCACAGACCCCCAGUCUGGAUUCUGAGUCAUUUUCGUGUCACAUUUCCUAAGGAUGCGCUCAGCUUAUCUUGGAGGUUGGCGAGCUGCACAUCCUUUCAGGGACCAACGCUCAGAAACACAGCUCAUAAUGCACCUACUGAAAGAAUCCUUCAAGCUGGAGUCCAAACUGUUGAGCUCAGAAAAGUGCAGGGUCAGCCCAGCACAGACUACCCACCCCAGGAACACGACCAGUUACUCUUCAGGUACCUGCAUCGUGACAACUACGCUGUUCCCCUCUGUUUGCCAUACACGACCACUGCACAGUGAACAGCUGUUACCCAUCUCGCUAACCCUCCUAUUUCUUCCAUGUCCAAGGUGCGGAGACGUCUGUGAUUCCAGUGUUUUUGGAAACUUCAAACUUGACUUUGAUGAGUGACUGCUAACAAGCAGAGUGUUUCCUUUCGGCUUUACCCUCAGUGUCACUUUGCCAGAGCUGUACCAGACAUGUUCAUAUUUACUUUUAUAUCUAAACCAAGGAGGCAAUGCUCUACCCACCCCCAAAAAGCCUCUCUUUAGCAGUGCAUACAGGAUUGAAGUGAUGCUAAUCAGGGACUUUGAUAAUUGAAGCUUGGGGAGAGAGAACCUUUCUUCUGGCCCCUUCAGUCUGUUUAAUGGGAUAAAAUUAGCCUGAGUGGCUGGUGUUUGAAGAGGAGGUGAUGUCGCUGGAAGUGCCUCCUGGGUUUGCUGCUGGACAAAGCAAUCAGGUGGAGUCGGGGAGGGCUGCGGGAGCGCUGAGGUAGGCGCAGCUUCUGCCACCCUAAUUAGCCUAAAUGAGCUGUGCCAGUUUUCUGCUUCUUUUUGAGUUGCCUUGCUAGUGCUUCCUUUGGAGCUGAAAGGAAGAACUAUGAAAUGGGGGCUGGCACUGUGGCAUAGUGGGUAAAGCCACAUCUGCAAUGUCGGCAUCCUAUAUGGGCCCCGGUUCAGGUUUCAACUGCUCCACUUCUGAUCCAGCUCUCUGCUAUGGCCUGGGAAAGCAGUAGAGGAUGGCCCAAGUCCUUGGGCCCUUGCACCUACAUGAGAGACUUGGAAGAAGCCCCUGGCUCCUGGCUUCUAAUCAGCCCAGCUCCAGUCAUUGUGGCCAUCUGGGGAGGGAACCAGCAGAUAGAAGACGUGUUUCUCUCUCUCUCUCUGCCUCUCUAACUCUGCCUUUCAAAUAGAUAAAUAAAUAAAUCUUUAAAAAAAAAAAGAAAUAUGAA
rnacentral:lncRNA from 1 species